UCUGUGUCGAGCUGCUUUGCUUGAAAGCAGAGCAAAGAACUUUUCUUUCAGGUGCAGUACAAGAAGUCUUCACUUUUUUAUGGAACUCUGCCAUCACUUUAAACUCCACAGCUGUUGGGAUCCAAUGACAGAGGAACAGCAAGGAGUUUUGGCAAACGGCCUGUGUUUGCAUGUACAGAGGCUGCACGCCAGGCCGUCUCUCAGUGGGAUCAGGACGAACAUGGGCCUUCAUUAGCACUCCCUAAUUAGGAACAGAUGCAAUUUACAGCACGGGGCCCACGCCACACAGCACCUCUCUCUCUCUCUCUCUCUCUCUCGUUCUCUGUCUCAUCGCUCUCUCUUCACUGCCUACCAAAGCAGCUUUCUUUUUCCACAUUCCCAGUCUUGUUCUCCUUCGACUCACCUCUUUCUCUUUCAAAAACAUAUUGGUCGUUUUAUUUUUGCAUAAUGCUGAUGUCUGCCAAUGGAUUCAUAGCAUCAAUUAUAAUCAUGUUCUUCUUGCAGGCAGAUACACAUGCCCAA